rnacentral:rRNA from 1 species
GACGGAGGGUGCAAGCGUUGUUCGGAAUUACUGGGCGUAAAGCGCGGGCAGGUGGCCCUUUAAGUCCUUUGUGAAAUUCCGGAGCUCAACUCCGGAUGUGCAUAGGAUACUGGAAGGCUAGAGACUGGUAGAGGCGAGCGGAAUUCCUGGUGUAGCGGUGGAAUGCGUAGAUAUCAGGAGGAACACCGGUGGUGUAGACGGCUUUCUGGACCGUAACUGACGCUGAGACACGAAAGCGUGGGUAGCAAACAGG